rnacentral:rRNA from 1 species
UAGGCUAAGCAAGAAAGAGCGUAUGGCGGAUGCCUAGGCACUAAGAGGCGAAGAAGGACGCAGCGAACGGCGAAACGCGACGGCGAGCAGUAAGCAGGCAACGACCCGUCGAUGUCCGAAUGGGGGAACCCAUCAUUCCGAGAGGGAUGAUAUCGUCUGAUGAAUAAAUAGUCAGACGAGGCGAGACGCAGGGAACUGAAACAUCUCAGUACCUGCAGGAGAAGAAAGUAAGAACGAUUCCGUGAGUAGCGGCGAGCGAAAGCGGAGGAGCCCAAACCAUCGCAAAGAUGGGGUUAUAGGGCUGCCGACAAAGUCGACUUGACAUGAUAGGAGAAGCGCAGGGGAAGGCGCAGCGAAGAGGGUGACACUCCCGUAUCCGAAAUCGUGGAGAGAGGCGAGGCAGUACCUGAGUACGUCGGGGCACGUGAAAUCCUGACGGAAUUAUCGAGGACCAUCUCGAAAGGCUAAAUACUCCUUAGUGACCGAUAGCGAACCAGUACCGUGAGGGAAAGGUGAAAAGAACCCCGGGAGGGGAGUGAAAGAGAACCUGAAACCAUAUGCUUACAAGAAGUCAGAGCCCGUUAAAGGGUGAUGGCGUGCCUUUUGUAGAAUGAGCCGGCGAGUUAUGAUAUGGAGCGAGGUUAAGCGGGAGACGCGGAGCCGAAGCGAAAGCGAGUCUUAAUAGGGCGACAGUUGCAUGUCAUAGACCCGAAACCGGGUGAUCUAGCCAUGAUCAGGUUGAAGUUGGGGUAAAACCCGAUGGAGGACCGAACCGACCCCCGUUGAAACGUUGGCGGAUGAAUUGUGGCUAGGGGUGAAAUUCCAAACGAACCCGGAGAUAGCUGGUUCUCCCCGAAAUAGCUUUAGGGCUAGCGUCGCGCGAAGUCACGUGAAGGUAGAGCACUGAAUAUGUGAUGGCCUCAUCCCGAGGUACUGAGCAUAAUCAAACUCCGAAUGUCACGAGGACAUGCGCGGCAGUCAGACUGCGGGUGAUAAGGUCCGUAGUCAAGAGGGAAACAGCCCAGACCAUCAGCUAAGGUCCCAAAAUAUAUGCUAAGUGGAAAAGGAUGUGGAGAUGUCCAGACAACCAGGAGGUUGGCUCAGAAGCAGCCACCCUUUAAAGAGUGCGUAACAGCUCACUGGUCGAAUGACUCUGCGCCGAAAAUUUACCGGGGCUAAGCAUAAUACCGAAGCUAUGGAUUUAUAGAGAAUAUAAGUGGUAGGGGAGCGUUCCAGUCAGCGAGGAAGCAUGAUCGUAAGGACAUGUGGAGCGGCUGGAAGAGAGAAUGCCGGUGUGAGUAGCGGCACGUGGGUGAGAAUCCCACGCACCGAAGACCCAAGGUUUCCAGAGGAAGGUUCGUCCGCUCUGGGUAAGUCGGGACCUAAGGCGAGGCCGAGAGGCGUAGUCGAUGGACAACGGGUGGAUAUUCCCGUACCUGGCGUGAGGGCGAUGGAGUGACGGAGAAGGCUAGGCGAUCCAGCUGCUGGAAUAGCUGGUGCAAGCGAGGUAGGGGACAUCCAGGCAAAUCCGGAUGUCAUAACCCGAAGACGUGAAGCGUAUGGAACAUUACGAUAAGUACAGAAGUCGCCGAAGCCAUCUUCCAAGAAAAGCUUCUAGCGAUACCUCAAGUCAGCCCGUACCGAAAAUGGACACACAUGGGUGAGGAGAGAAUCCUAAGGUGAGCGAGAGAACUAUAGCUAAGGAACUCUGCAAAAUGACUCCGUAACUUCGGGAGAAGGAGUGCUCAGUGAAAGCUGAGCCGCAGUAAAACGGCCCAAGCGACUGUUUACCAAAAACACAGCUCUCUGCCAAGACGCAAGUCGAAGUAUAGGGGGUGACGCCUGCCCGGUGCUGGAAGGUUAAGAGGAGUGGUCAGUCUUAAGGCGAAGCCAUGAAUUGAAGCCCCAGUAAACGGCGGCCGUAACUAUAACGGUCCUAAGGUAGCGAAAUUCCUUGUCAGGUAAGUUCUGACCCGCACGAAAGGCGUAACGAUUUGGGCGCUGUCUCAGCUGUAGACUCGGUGAAGUCUUAGUACCUGUGAAGAUGCAGGUUACCCGCGACUAGACGGAAAGACCCCAUGGAGCUUUACUGUAGCUUGAUAUUGGAUUUUGAUGCAUGAUGUACAGGAUAGGUAGGAGACAAAGAGACGGAUACGCCAGUAUUCGAGGAGUCGACGUUGGGAUACUACCCUUGAUGCAUUGAAGUUCUAACCGGACGUCGUGAAGCCGAUGACGGGACAGUGUCAGGUGGGCAGUUUGACUGGGGCGGUCGCCUCCCAAAGAGUAACGGAGGCGCCCAAAGAUACCCUCAGCAUGGUUGGAAAUCAUGCGCAGAGUGCAAAGGCAGAAGGGUGUUUGACUGCGAGACAUACAGGUCGAGCAGGGACGAAAGUCGGGCUUAGUGAUCCGGCGGUGCCGAAUGGAAGGGCCGUCGCUCAACGGAUAAAAGCUACCCUGGGGAUAACAGGCUGAUCUCCCCCAAGAGUUCACAUCGACGGGGAGGUUUGGCACCUCGAUGUCGGCUCAUCGCAUCCUGGAGCUGAAGUCGGUUCCAAGGGUUGGGCUGUUCGCCCAUUAAAGCGGUACGCGAGCUGGGUUCAGAACGUCGUGAGACAGUUCGGUCCCUAUCUGUCGUGGGCGUAGGAAGUUUGAGGAGAGCUGCCCUCAGUACGAGAGGACCGGGGUGGACAGACCAAUGGUGCACCAGUUGUCACGCCAGUGGCACAGCUGGGUAGCUAAGUCUGGAAGGGAUAAACGCUGAAGGCAUCUAAGCGUGAAGCCCCCUCCAAGAUGAGACUUCCCAUUUCGAAGGAAAGUAAGACCCCUCUAAGACGAAGAGGUUGAUAGGUCAGGGGUGUAAGCAUGGCGACAUGCUGAGCUGACUGAUACUAAUAGGUCGAGGGCUUAACCUAA